CAUAGCUCCAUUGAUGGUCUCUUCCAGCAACCUGCACAGCGGACUCCUAUCCUGUUGUCAAGUGAAGACCUGCGUGGAACGGCAGGGACCAGAGAUUCACCCGUUUUUCCCAUACCUUGUGUCGAAGAAGAGCACACACCCAUCGACAUGAACCUGACUUUCUGUGAUUCCCAACGUCAUCAGCCAGAGAGGGCUCUUCUUCCACCCACUCAUGUGAACUCAAGACUUGUUGGACUUCACAGACUUCAACUUGCUGUGCAUCCCCCUCUCUCCUUCCAUCCCACUCUAUCCCUAUUUUUACCUUCCCUCCCUCCCCCUCCCUCCAUUCCUCUCUCU